CCUUUGACACCUUUCUCUUUGCUUCUAUGUCACACUUGUUGCCCAGCAACAUCCGGCUCACUCCAGCCGAGGCAUUCUGCAAGAAGAGGGACAGAAAGACGUGCUUGGUUCCCCAGUACCUCAGAAGUGAGGUGGAAUCUACAGUCACUGUGACACAACCAGUCAACUCUGGAUGCUUCCUGUGGGACGGGAAGCAAAUGAGAAAGCACUAAAGAGGAUAGGAAAGGAGGGGUCUUUGAAGAUUUGACUGAAUGCACUGAAUGCCAGAGAGGGCAGCCACCAUCUGAUGCAGAGACAGAGAGAUUACAAUAG